UACGUAGGGUGCGAGCGUUAAUCGGAAUUACUGGGCGUAAAGGGUGCGCAGGCGGCGCUCCAAGUCAGGCGUGAAAUCCCCGGGCUUAACCUGGGAAUGGCGCUUGAAACUAGAGUGCUGGAGUGUGGCAGAGGGAGGUGGAAUUCCACGUGUAGCGGUGAAAUGCGUAGAGAUGUGGAGGAACACCGAUGGCGAAGGCAGCCUCCUGGGCCAACACUGACGCUCAUGCACGAAAGCGUGGGGAGCAAACAGG
rnacentral:rRNA from 1 species